UGCCACAGCUAGAUCACCCUGCAGCCCAAGACUGGGUACUCACCUAGCAGGGCUGAGCCUGGUCAGUGCCUGGAUGGGAGACCACAUGGGAACACUAGGUUGCUUUUGGAA
rnacentral:rRNA from 1 species